CCUACGGGCGGCUGCAGUGGGGAAUAUUGGACAAUGGGCGAAAGCCUGAUCCAGCCAUGCCGCGUGUGUGAAGAGGGCCUUCGGGUUGUAAAGCACUUUCAGUGGGGAAGAAAGCCUUGGGGCUAAUACCCUCGAGGAAGGACAUCACCCACAGAAGAAGCACCGGCUAACUCCGUGCCAGCAGCCGCGGUAAUACGGAGGGUGCGAGCGUUAAUCGGAAUUACUGGGCGUAAAGCGCGCGUAGGCGGUCUGAUAAGCCGGUUGUGAAAGCCCCGGGCUCAACCUGGGAACGGCAUCCGGAACUGUCAGGCUAGAGUGCAGGAGAGGAAGGUAGAAUUCCCGGUGUAGCGGUGAAAUGCGUAGAGAUCGGGAGGAAUACCAGUGGCGAAGGCGGCCUUCUGGACUGACACUGACGCUGAGGUGCGAAAGCGUGGGUAGCAAACAGGAUUAGAAACCCCAGUAGUC
rnacentral:rRNA from 1 species